UGCCAGCAGCCGCGGUAACACGGGGGGCGCAAGCGUUAUUCGGAAUUAUUGGGCGUAAAGCGUGCGUAGGCGGCGCGGAAAGUCAGAUGUGAAAUCUUUGGGCUCAACCCGGAAACUGCAUCCGAUACUCCCGCGCUAGAGUAAUGGAGGGGUAGCUGGAAUUCUCGGUGUAGCAGUGAAAUGCGUAGAUAUCGAGAGGAACACUCGUGGCGAAGGCGAGCUACUGGACAUUUACUGACGCUCAGGCACGAAGGCCAGGGUAGCGAAAGGGAUUAGAUA
rnacentral:rRNA from 1 species